GACGAACGCUGGCGGCGUGCUUAACACAUGCAAGUCGAACGGAAAGGCCCUGCUUUUGUGGGGUGCUCGAGUGGCGAGCGGGUGAGUAACACGUGAGUAACCUGCCCUUGACUUUGGGAUAGCUUCAGGAAACUGGGGCUAAUACCGGAUAGGAGCUCCUGCUGCAUGGUGGGGGUUGGAAAGUUUCGGCGGUUGGGGAUGGACUCGCGGCUUAUCAGCUUGUUGGUGGGGUAGUGGCUUACCAAGGCUUUGACGGGUAGCCGGCCUGGGAGGGUGACCGGCCACAUUGGGACUGAGAUACGGCCCAGACUCCUACGGGAGGCAGCAGUGGGGAAUAUUGCACAAUGGGCGGAAGCCUGAUGCAGCAACGCCGCGUGCGGGAUGACGGCCUUCGGGUUGUAAACCGCUUUCGCCUGUGACGAAGCGUGAGUGACGGUAAUGGGUAAAGAAGCACCGGCUAACUACGUG
rnacentral:rRNA from 1 species